GAUGAACGCUGGCGGCGUGCCUAACACAUGCAAGUCGAACGAAGCACCUUUUAAGAUUCUUCGGAUGAUUGAUUGGUGACUGAGUGGCGGACGGGUGAGUAACGCGUGGGUAACCUGCCCUGUACAGGGGGAUAACAGGUGGAAACGGCUGCUAAUACCGCAUAAGCGCACGAGAGGACAUCCUCUUGUGUGAAAAACUCCGGUGGUACAGGAUGGGCCCGCGUCUGAUUAGCUGGUUGGCAGGGUAACGGCCUACCAAGGCGACGAUCAGUAGCCGGUCUGAGAGGAUGAACGGCCACAUUGGAACUGAGACACGGUCCAAACUCCUACGGGAGGCAGCAGUGGGGAAUAUUGCACAAUGGGGGAAACCCUGAUGCAGCAACGCCGCGUGAGUGAAGAAGUAUUUCGGUAUGUAAAGCUCUAUCAGCAGGGAAGAUAAUGACGGUACCUGACUAAGAAGCUCCGGCUAAAUACGAGCCAGCAGCCGCCGUAA
rnacentral:rRNA from 1 species